AUUACCGAGUUGGAGCGAUGGAGGAGGUUGAAAAGACCUGGCUUGUUAUCGCUACUACACAAGAGUCAGCGCUGCUACCAUUGUUCUCAAGGAACGAGAUUCUAAAACCUGCAAAAAUCAAAAGGUAACGAUAACAAUGGCGACUAUAACAUCAUUAAUGGUGAUGGGGUAUGUAGAAGGGAGUAGGUGAGAGUGAAGAGAAAAAGAAUUAAGGAAUUAAAGAAUUAAGUUUUAGAAGAGAGAGAAAUUAGUUGCAGAAGGUUAGAGAGAGAGAGAGAGAGAGGAUGAGGGUCAUUUGAGGUGGAGGAGAAAAUAAUUUUUUAAAUGAAUUUUCAUUUAAAAAAAGUCACGUGUUAAAUACGUGGCAUUCCGACCAACAAAAAAAAUCAAGUGUAUCAAAAAGCAUUUUAUUAUUAUAAAAAUAUAAAUUUAAAUAUUUUUAAGAUAGAAAUUGAAGUUGAUACCAUAUAAGUGAUUAUCUAUUGAGUUCAUUUUGCUUUCGGUGAAAUUAACCCGCGGCUCUAAAAAACUAAAUCUUCUUAGAAAGUUUUGUGCGGUACUAUGUUGAAGUAUUGUAUAAGUUAUGUUAUUUUAUUAUUGCUCAUGUGUACAAACUAUAAAUAAGACUGUUAGCUUAUUCUUGUAAUUGAUACAAUACACACAAUGAAUAAGAUACAAAUCACAUUUUAUUCUCU